UCAGGUGACAAACGACCCGAAGGUAGAUACCAGGGGAGUUUUGAUGA
rnacentral:ncRNA from 1 species